UUUUUUUUUACUAAAAGAAUAAAUUUUAUUUCAGCACUGUAAGUCGUUUCUCAACCGUACAAACACGACCACCAUCUUUACAUCAUCAAGCCUCUCCUCCUGUUCCAGUCUUCCUUUGUGAAAUCACUUCCUCCACAGCCAGACGAAUAUAAAAGGGCUCUCUCCACAACAUUCUGGUGCUUCCAUUUUAGCUAACGAUGACAAAUUAUACCGAUCAUAAUUAUAACAGCAAUAAUAGUAGUGAUGAAGAUGAACCUUUUACUGCACUGUUGUUUUGAGGGGGAGGGGCUUACAGUACAUGAUACAGUACACAUUACUGCUGGUUUACAGUUGAUGUAUUACAUGUGUUACAGUUGCUUCAGAAGGCGUUGGUACAGAUACUCACAGACUCGACACCUGUAUGAUGUUAUAUCAUCAUCAUGUGACCUGAACUGACCGCUCACUCCAUAUCCUCCCUAGCUGCAUCCCAAAUAGCAUCCUAUUCCCUUUCUAGUACACUACUCAUGACCAGGACCCUGCACCACAAGGUCAAAAGUAGUGCACUAUUAUAAGGAAUGGAGUGAAAUUUGGAAUGUAAUCAACUGUCUUUAUUACCUGUAAGCCUAUCUAGUCUGGACCACCAGGCAGUGUAGCCAUACAUGUACUGAAACCUUAUAACACAGUCCUACAGUAACCAAUACAGCUCUGUUCUACUCAUCACAAAACUCCACUCUAUAAGGGGUAAACCAAUCACACGUGCUGUGAUGUCAUCAUAGAAUCGCUCUCAUGAUAGGCCAUUGUAUUUUUCUGGGGACUUCCAACUCUGUGCAAAGUACAGCUUCACUUGAGUCGACCAUGAAAUCUUUAUAAAGGGACGUUAAUAAUACGAGAAUAUACGAACGUAGUGCAGAAACGAUUAUCAUUUAAAAAGCUUUUGACGGGCGAUAUUUAACUGACAUAGUAACAACGACAAGGUGAUCUUUAAAAUGAUUUAUGGCAUAUAAAUCUCUAUGUUUGGCUAAAGCCUCUUAGAACUAACGGUUGCUUUGAUAGAUAGAAGGGGUUAGAAGACAUUAAAAAGAGUAAGAAAAAAAAAAGUGAAGCACAAUUGAAUAAAACAGAUUUUUUUUUGUUGCAGACUCUGGCUAGUUUACAAAGAGAAACUGAUCAUCAAUAAUAACAUCGUUCACAAAGAGAAACCGAUCAUCAAUAAUAACAUAGCCUCUACUGUUAGUGUGGGUGGUUAGGGGCGGGGUCAGAAAACAGCCAAUAGAAAUGGUCCUAGAGGAAACAGAUAAGGGCUGAUACAGUGAUCCAUCCAUCGGACAGACUGCCUGUGUCGGACAGACUGCCUGUGUCGGACAGACUGUUGGUGAAAGGGUGUAAAGACUGUUGGUGAAAGGGUGUAAAGACUGUUGGUGAAAGGGUGUAAAGACUGUUGGUGAAAGGGUGUUGGUGAAAGGGUGUUGGUGAAAGGGUGUUGGUGAAAGGGUGUAAAGACUGUACUCUAUGGGCUGCUUUAAGCGGAACGACCUAAUGAGGGGGACAGAGGGAGGAAGAGAGCGAGAACGGUGAAGACGGGGGUGAAGAGAGAGGAGGGGUUGAAGGGCGAGGGGGGGUGAAGAGAGGAGGGGUUGAAGGGCGAGGGUGAAGAGAGAAGGGAUGUUGGUAUAUAGAGGAAUAUUAAAAUAAGCAAUAAAAUCACUGAUCAAUAAAAUCUAAUACAACUAAAUCAGACACGGAUAACAAUGGGAGAGUAAUUAUGUUGUUGUUGACUUUAUCCAUACUAGCUAGUGUCUAACUCAGGGUGUGACAUCAAUGUGUGUGUGUGUGUGUGUGUGUGUGUGAGAGAGUGUGAGUGUGAGUGUGUGAGUGUGAGUGUGUGUGUGUGUGUGUGAGUGUGUGUGUGUGUGUGAGUGUGUGUGUGUGUGUGUGUGAGUGUGUGUGUGUGUGUGUGUGCACGUACUCUUACGAGUGAGUCAAGAGGGAUGUGUGUGUGUCAGACUGCAGCUCGGUACAACUGUAGAGUUAUCAAGUCUCUCUGCUCCACCCACAGACAGUAACUGACGAGGAACAGCAACAUCACUUCAGCACAAACACAGAGAGGGCUGGUAACAACUACUGUGUGUGUGUGUGAGUAAGUAUUCUUACGAGUGAGUCGACAGGGAUGUGCGUAAUUUUGCCAGCUAGCGGAGCGACUUAAGUUAGGCCCACUCCUCCGCCUGGCUGAACAGAAAUAGUCAUGACCUGCAGUGUCCCGUCAUCUUAUUGUGCUACAGUAACGUCAUGUGAAAAGGUUAAAGCAUUAUUCAUGGAGUGCAAAUUCCGUCACAAUAUUGUUUAUAACGUUCGUUUUGAACUGAUGCACGACUGAGCAUUCUACUCAAUGAGCGCCGAUGAAGAUUUCAUCAAAAGUGCAUUACAGUGGCUUGGGAAUACAAUGACACUCAAAAGGAGGCAAAUAAUUAGUAGGAAAACCUUUUGAUGUCGCCAGAUUGACUUUAGAUACAGUAUAACGUUAGCUAGCUAGCUAAGAUUGAGGUGAGGCCACCAGAUAGACUUUAAAUGCAGUACAACAUUAGCUAGCUAGCUAAGAUUGAGGGGAGGCCACCAGAUAGACUUUAAAUGCAGUGUAACGUUAGCUAGCUAGCCACCAGAUUGACUUUAGAUGCAGUGUAACGUUAGCUAGCUAGCCACCAGAUUGACUUUAAAUGCAGUGUAACGUUAGCUAGCUAGCCACCAGAUUGACUUUAGAUGCAGUGUAACGUUAGCUAGCUAGCCACCAGAUUGACUUUAGAUGCAGUGUAACGUUAGCUAGCUAGCCACCAGAUUGACUUUAGAUGCAGUGUAACGUUAGCUAGCUAGCCACCAGAUUGACUUUAGAUGCAGUGUAACGUUAGCUAGCUAAAAUGGAGGUGAGGCCAUUUUUUUUAUUAGGUUUUUGACAAACUUUGCUAGCUAAUGACAACAUUGCAAUCAAAGUAAAUUUGAAGGCAUGAUAACGCUUGCAAACUUUUUCCUACUAAAUACUUGACUACUUUAGCAAUGUCAUUGUAUUUCCAGAAUUACUUUUUUUUAAUCGCAACUUUAGGGCGCCGCAGAUAGAGGCCUGCUUGAGAACGUUCACAACAAUGGCAUGAUGCGACAUAGUGAGGGAGGUGCAUCCUAUGAAUAUGUACUCUCUGUGUGUGUGUGUGUGUAUAUAUAUAAAAAAUAUAUGAGUCGUAGUCGUUCAGUCAUGCUGGGUAUUAUAUGACCAGUGGGGCUCUUCUCUAGCCAGUCUAGGGGUUCAAAUCUGUCUGCUAGAUAGCCCUGAGACGACUGGAUUAAAAGACUGUUGUUGUUCUCAAUACUUCAUGUGGGAUUAAGAUCCAAAGUCUCGUUUUACAACAACCAUCAGAAGGCAGAGAUGAUUUGCUUGUAAACAGUUCCACAACCCUUGCACGCCAUGGAGUCUUGAGCCGCAGCUUUCCAAAAUCAUUUUGGUUGAAGUGUAUUUAGAUGUUAUGUUUGCUUUGGCAACUUUGGGCUUUGUGGGGCUAUGUAGAUGCUACUAAGGUAGUUGUGGUUGGAACUGGACUAUUUAGCAGACAGAAUGUCACCCUUUCUGUUUGUGUUUUAACUACAGUCCUGUAGAGUUUAGUCCAAUACUGUUACUACUGUCCUACAACUACAGUAACAACACUCCUAACAAUUCUCUGUACGCUUCAGCAAGUCAUAUCAAUAACCAGCCAUCAAUAAGACCCUGGUUUUCAUUUGGUAGUUGUUUGUUGACAAGUUAACGGGCCGUUUGUUGUGUCUCAGUGUAACGGAUCUUAACGGUGGGCUCAGUGAUUUAAAUAUCAACACUGACUGUGUACCCUAUGAGUAUAAGGCUGAAGAUCAACAACAGAGGCAGUCUUGUGGAAUCCUUAGGUUCUUCACAGGAACGAAGAGGAUCAGUCAGAAUGUAGGGAAUAGGGUGCCAUUUCAUCUGGGCAGGGUUUCCUUCAGUUAAACAGUUAAGAUUUUAGACCAGCGUUUCCCCAACUCAGUCACCCCCCCCCUCUCCCGGGUGCACCUUUUGGUUCUGACCCAGCACUACACAGCUGAUUCAAUAACCAACUCAUCGGCAAGCUUUGAUUAUUUGAAUCAGCUGUGUAGUGCUGGGGGAAACCCUUAGGCGUCCCGAGGUACGAGUUUGGGAAACAUUGUCUUAGGCCUAACCAUCAGAUAGAUAGAGCAUCAAGUCUUUGACAUGGUCUCCUUCUGUUGCCUUGCCUUGUCAGGGGUUCAUAUAGGGUGCCUCCCAAAUGGUACCCCAUUCCCUAUAUAGUGCACUACUUUUGACCAAAGCCCUAUGGGGGUAGCCCUAUGGGCCAUAAACAGAACUAGUGCAGUAGAAGGACUAGGAGUCCUUUGGGCAGCAUCCAUGUCCCUACGCUGGUUAAAUUGAGUUGAUUCAGUCCAUGUUAUUUCUACAGAUGUCCAGGAGACAGACAGAUCAAUCCUACUACUCUGCUCUGUCGUCUACUAACAUUAAAACAAGACAAUACUCUGAUUCCUCUCAGAGCACACCUAUUAAGGGAAUACUUAUUUUGUCCUCUAUCAUAAUUAUAAAACUAUUUAGGAUCUUUAGAUUGUGGGCAGAACAUUCAUGUGUUCCCACCCCAAACCCCUGCUGAUUGUGGAGGUAGUUUGGGGGAAGUGCUUCUUGUUGUUGGUUAAAGAGCUGAGAACGGCUGUGCUAUCGCCGUGGCGACUGCUAACCAAUCACCAGGCGGGGUUGGGGAGGCGGUGCUACCAGGCCUGUCCUGAUUGGCCAGCCAGCUGACAGGGCUGGUGUGGGUCUAUGCUUUGGGACUUCAUCAGGUCUUGUCUAUAACGGCA
rnacentral:lncRNA from 1 species